rnacentral:misc_RNA from 1 species
UCGUAACAAGGUUUCCGUAGGUGAACCUGCGGAAGGAUCAUUACCGAGUGAGGGCCCUCUGGGUCCAACCUCCCACCCGUGUUUAUUUUACCUUGUUGCUUCGGCGGGCCCGCCUUUACUGGCCGCCGGGGGGCUCACGCUCCCGGGCCCGCGCCCGCCGAAGACACCCCCGAACUCUGUCUGAAGAUUGCAGUCUGAGUGAAAACGAAAUUAUUUAAAACUUUCAACAACGGAUCUCUUGGUUCCGGCAUCGAUGAAGAACGCAGCGAAAUGCGAUACGUAAUGUGAAUUGCAAAUUCAGUGAAUCAUCGAGUCUUUGAACGCACAUUGCGCCCCCUGGUAUUCCGGGGGGCAUGCCUGUCCGAGCGUCAUUGCUGCCCUCAAGCCCGGCUUGUGUGUUGGGCCCCGUCCCCCGAUCCCGGGGGACGGGCCCGAAAGGCAGCGGCGGCACCGCGUCCGGUCCUCGAGCGUAUGGGGCUUUGUCACCCGCUCCGUAGGCCCGGCCGGCGCCUGCCGAUCAACCCCAAAUUUUUAAUCCAGGUUGACCUCGGAUCAGGUAGGGAUACCCGCUGAACUUAAGCAUAUCAAUAA